CUUUUCCGUAAAUAAAACAAAAACAAACACAAAAAUGAAAAGAUAAAUCCUCUUUCUUCCAUUAGAUCAGAACCAUAAACUUCUCCGAUGGCCGGCGAUGACUCUCAUUUGCAAAACGACGUCGUUUCAGUCCAAUGUAUCAACGACAGUCUCGGCGACGACGAGCUUCGGGCCGUACUGUCGAGGCUCGGAGACGACAAAGACAAGGAAGUUUUCGGGCUGGUAUGUAAGCGGUGGCUUCGUAUUCAAAGUACUGAAAGAAAGAAACUUUGUGCUCGGGCCGGGCCUCACAUGCUCAGAAGAAUCGCGGCCCGAUUCACUCGCUUACAUGAGCUUGAUCUAUCUCAAUCGGUUUCUAGAUCUUUCUAUCCUGGUGUUACUGAUUCUGAUCUUUCAGUUAUUGCUACAGCUUUCUCUUGUUUACGAAUUCUCAAUCUUCAGAACUGUAAAGGCAUAACAGACAAUGGAUUGGCAGCAAUUGGAUCGAGUCUCUCUUCUUUACAGUCCUUAGAUGUAUCCUACUGCAGAAAGAUCACUGACAAGGGGCUCUCAGCUGUUGCUGAGGGGUGUCGUGACUUGAGAACCUUGCAUCUUACUGGCUGUAGAUUUGUCUCAGAUUCAUUAAUGAAAGCUCUCUCCAAGAAUUGCCAUAAUGUAGAAGAGCUGGGUUUGCAAGGAUGUAUCAACAUUACCAACUCAGGUCUCUCCAUUUUGGUUGAAGGUUGUCAAAGGAUAAAACAUCUGGACAUUAACAAAUGCAGCAAUAUUGGUGAUAUUGGAAUAUCUAGCGUGUCCAAAGCUUGUUCAUUGACACUUAGGACAUUGAAGUUGUUGGAUUGCUACAAAGUUGGUGAUGAUUCCAUCUUAUCCUUAGCCAACUGCUGCAAAAAUCUUGAGACACUUGUUAUUGGGGGUUGCCGUAACAUAUCAGAUGAGUCCAUGAAGUCACUGGCAGCUUCUUGUAGUAAUAGUUUGAGGAAACUGAGGAUGGAUUGGUGCUUGAAUAUUACAGACUCUUCAUUGGACUGCAUCAUUUCCAAAUGCAGAGAGCUUGAGGUUCUUGACAUUGGUUGCUGUGAGGAGGUAACUGAUGCUGCAUUUCAACAAUUAGGAAGUGAAAACCUUAUGUUGGGGAUGAAGAUUUUGAAGGUCAGUAACUGUCCAAAGAUCACUGUUGAAGGAAUUAAGAAGCUUAUGAAGUCAUGUGAUUAUCUUGAAUACCUAGACGUACGGUCUUGUCCCCUUAUCACUAAAGCAGGGUGUGAGGAGGCUGGAAUUCAGUUUCCUGAAUCCUGCAAAAUAAACUUCACUGGAAGCUUAGCAGAGCCAGAUGUAUUACUUUGAGCAGUACUUGAUUUAGCAAUGCCUUUGAAGGCCUGAUGGGUAUCAUACAGUGAAAUUAUCACAUCUCUGCCUCAGACCUAAAAUAUGACUUCGGAAGCUCCUGAUGGUAGCGGGAAUAUUGACGAUGAUGUCAUAUAUCUCAUUGGGGUGGCAUGGAUGAAAUGGAGACUUGCCUCUGGAGUUCUGUGUGACAAGAAGGUGCCACCUAAACUUAAAGGUAAGUUUUACAGAGUGGUGGUUAGAUCGGCUUUGCUGUAUGGAGUGGAGUGCUGGCCUAUCAAGAAAUCUCAUGUUUAGAAAAUACAUGUUGCGGAGAGGAGGAUGUUGAGAUGGAUGUCUGGGCACACUAAGAGCGAAAAAAUCAGGAAUGAGGUUAUCCGGAAAAAGUUAGGAGUGGCCUCUGGGGCGGACAAGAUGAGGGAAGCGAGACUCAGAUGGUUUGGGCAUGUGCAAAGGAGGUGUGUUGAUGCGCCAGUGAAGAGAUGUGAGAGGCUGGUUCUAUAGGAUACCCGGAGAGGUAGAGGUAGACCAAAGAAGUAUUGGAGAGAGGUGAUUAGACAGGACAUGGUGUAGCUUCAUAUUAUUGAGGACAUGACUCUAGAUAAGGAGUGUAGGUCGUGUAUUAGGGUAGAAGGCUAGUAGGAGUGGAGUAUUGUCUUGGAGUGCGUAAGUUAAGGCUCGUUGGUGUCUAUCAUAGUACUAGUCAUACCCUUGUAGUUCUUGCCAUAUGUUGUGUAUUGUGUUUAGAUUAUCUCAUAUUUCGCCAUUAUUAUUGCUUCUUUCUUGUAGACUUUACACUGCUUUCCUUAUUCUCGACUAUGUUUUUCACUGUUUUCUUCUUUAUUUACGUGGGUUUGAUGCACUUGAGCCGAUGGUCUUUCAGAAACAACCUCUUUGCCUCCUCGAAGUAGUGGUAAGGUCUACGUACACUCUACCCUCCCCAAACCCCACUUAGUGGGAUUAUACUAGGCAUGUUGUUGUAUAGAAGUUAAACACUUGGAAAAAUUUAUAUUCUGAAACCACAAGCUGGAGAUCGGCUUAUCUGUUUCCUAAUUGCCCUAGACUAACAGAUGAGGAAAAAGAGAUGUUACAAGGGAGUUUUGAGGAGAGUGAAGUUUUGAGAUGUCUAAAACUGUGUGCAACAGACAAAGCACCUGCCCCAGAUGGCUUCACAAUGGUUUUCUUCUUAAAAUUUUGGGAGAUACUAAAGCAAGACAUCAUGUGGCCUUUCAAAAUUUCCAUGAACACGAAAUGUUUGAAAGAAGUUUUAAUGCCACUUUCAUAACUCUCAUUCCAAAGCAAAAAGGAGCCAAAGCGUUGAGGGAUUUUAGACCGAUUAGCUUGAUAGGCAGUAUAUACAAGUUAUUUGCCAAAGUACUGACAGAAAGGUUGAAAGUUGUGGUAGCCAAGUUGAUUGAUCCACAACAAAUGGCCUUAAUCAAAGGUAGACGAAUCAUGGAUGCUGUGCUAGUAGCUAAUGAAGUUGUUGACUCCAGACUUUAGCAAAAAGAACUUGGAAUCUUGUGUAAGCUAGACAUGGAGAAGGCAUAUGACCAUGUUAACUAUUAGUACCUAUUGGAUUCUAUGAGAAGAAUGGGUUUUGGUCAAAAGUGGAUACAAUGGGUCAAAUAUUGCAUCUUAACUGUGAGAUUUCCAGUGCUUAUCAAUGGCUUACCAGCAAGGUUUUUCCGUGCACAAAGGGGUUUAAGACAAGGAGAUCCUUUGUCAGCCUUUCUCUUCUUAAUAGCUAUGAAGGGUCUUAAUAGCAUGAUCAAAACAACAAACAUGAAUGGGUGGCUCAGAGGAUUUGAUGUGGCCAGAAUUGGAGAAAAGAAUCUGGAGAUAACUCACUUGCAAUAUGCUGAUGAUACUCUCAUACUAUGUGAUGCUGAAGAGGAUCAACUUAGGAUCCCAAGGGUGAUUUGGUGCUUUUUGAAGGGAUUUCUGGGUUGCACAUUAAUUUGAGGAAAAGUUUCCUAUAUCCUAUUAAUGAGGUGCAAACCAUGGAGAUUUUGAAUGCAGUCCUAGGUGGGGAAUUGGGGAAUCUACCCACCAUCUAUCUAGGGAUGCCACUAGGAGCAAAAGCACAAUCAACUGAAACAUGGAAUAUUGUAAUUGAAAGGUGUGAAAAGAAAUUGGCAAGAUGGAAGACUUAGUAUCUCUCUAGGGGAGGCAGACUAACUCUCAUCAACUAGGUCUUUGAUUCACUCCCAACCUAUAUGAUGUCUGUUUUCCCCAUUCCAGCAGGGGUUAUUAAGAGAUUGGACAAGGUGAGGAGGAAGUUUUUCUAGCAAGGAAACAAUGAAAGGAAGGGUUAUAAUCUGGUCAAAUGGGAAGAAGUGAUAACUGGGAAAAGACAAGGGGGAUUAGGUAUCAAGAACUUGAAAUUCCAAGGCAAGGCCCUUAGAAUGAAGUGGUUAUGGAAGUAUAGCAAUGAGAACCAGACUCUAGGGAGGAAUGUUAUUAAUGUUAAGUACGAUGAGGAAGACCACUGGAUGACCAAAGAAAUAAUGACACCUUAUGGAGUUAACAGUGUUUAGGGAAGCGUGAAGCAGAAAAAAGCGACAAGGCCUUGCUUCACGCUUAAAGCGUGAAGCAAAGCGCUCGCUUCAUUGAAGUGAAGCGUGAGUUAAAAGAAAAAAAACCAUAAUUAAUAAAGACAAUAUAUAUAAGAAAAAAUUCAAAUUAAAAACUCAAGAUGCGUGAAAACCCUAGAGGAGAAGCAGACCAGUAGUCAAACUAAACUAGGUCUCUUGAAAUAAAAAGUCGCGGCUCUUUUUUUCCCCUUUAAUCGACCUUUAAGACUUAAAAAAAAUUAAGUGUCGCUUCCAGUGCUUCGCGCAUCGUCACGCUUCAGCCUUAGAAGCGACCGCUUCUCUUCACCUCCAUCUCUUCUAGUCUGCGAAGCAUGACUGGCUCGCAUCGCUUAAGCGAUGAAGCGUUUGCUUUCCUGAACACUGGAGUUAGUUUAUGGAGGUCUAUCAGAACACUAUGGAGUGAAUUCAAAACCAACAUUAUGAUUAAAGUGGUAAACGGAGCUAAAACUGAUUUUUGGAAAGAUGAAUGACAUGAGGCAGGAAGAUUGGAAAAUCUGUUCCCAGAUAUUUAUACAUUAGUUUCUCAUCAACAAAAGACUAAUUUAGAAUUCUGGAUACCCCAUGGAUGGAGCUUCAACUUUAGAAGGCAUUUAAAUGAUGGGGAGAUGUUGCAAAUUUCUUCCGUACCAUCGAACAGUUUAAUGGACUGGAGGUAGGUCAAGAUACCUUACGGUGGAAAGGUAAUACGAAGGGUCAGUUCAAAGUAAGUAGUGCUUACAGGUGGAUGAAUCAAACACCACAGUGCAUAAACAACUGGCCAUGGAGAGGCAUCUGAAAGAACAAAAUUCCACACAAAGUAGCCUGCUUUAUCUGGUUGCUAGCCAAGGAAGCAACUCUCACCCAAGAUAAUCUGAUGAGGAGAGGAUACCACUUUGUUCUAGGUGUUUUUUUUUGUGGGGAAAAUGCUGUGAGACAGUUGACCAUCUAUUUCUUCAUGCAAAGUCACUGUACAGCUAUGGAGGAUUUUGUUAAAUCUCAGAGGCAUCUCAUGGACUAUGCCUGGAAAGAUUACUGAAGCAAUCCAGAGCUGGGAGGAAGCUGGUGUGCAGGCAAAAAGUAGAGAUAAAUGGAGAAUUGUCCCUGCUUGUGUCUGGUGGACAAUUUGGAAGGAAAGGAUGCUAGAUGUUUUGGUAGCAUAGAGAAUAGUUUGCAAAAGAUUAAGCUUAACUGCCUUUUGUUACUAUGUUUUUGGUGUAAUCAAAUAUAUUCAAAUGACACUAUCUCCAUAAUUGAUGUUCUAGAUUCAAUUUUGGUAGGAUUUCGCAGGAUUUUGAAGUAAAUUUUGUUAAUAUGGUUUUCAGUACAACCUAUGUACUGUUUGUGAGAAAUAUAUGAAGUUACUAGUUCCCAAAAAAAAUUGCUGGUGCAUCAUCUUCUGGAUGAUGAUACCAGUUCACUAUUCAUGAAUGGGCAGCAUUCCAGUGUGAGAAUGGCUACAACCUUAAAGGAAAUUUGUUGCUCCAAAUGUGUGAAUUGUAAUUUUUUUCUUAUCUCAAGGUGUGAGGAAACUAAGACCAGAAAAAUGAUGAUGAUCACUUAGAUUCUUAAAUUGAUAUAGUGUGGUUCCGGCUUCAGCAUAUUGAAUUACAACAUUGAAAUACAGGAAAUAUCCCUCAAAAUGGUUUCAUAUUUUCAACUGCAGAUUUUAUAUCUUAUUUUAUUUUAUCCAAAAGAUAAAUAAUUUCCUUGAUCUGGCCAAUAUUUGCACUAACCUUGAGG